rnacentral:rRNA from 1 species
AUUGAACGCUGGCGGCAGGCCUAACACAUGCAAGUCGAGCGAGCGGCGGACGGGUGAGUAAUGUCAGGGAAACUGCCUGAUGGAGGGGGAUAACUAAUGGAAACGGUAGCUAAUACCGCAUACCAUCAGAUGUGCCCAGAUGGGAUUAGCUAGUAGGUGGGGUAACGGCCCACCUAGGGGACGAUCCCUAGCUGGUCUGAGAGGAUGAACAGCCACACUGGAACUGAGACACGGUCCAGACUCCUACGGUAGGCAGCAGUGGGGAAUAUUGCACAAUGGGCGAAAGCCUGAUGCAGCCAUGCCGCGUGUGUGAAGAAGGCCUUCGGAUUGUAAAGCACUUUCAGCGGGGAGGCGUUACCCGCAGAAGAAGCACCGGCUAACUCCGUGCCAGCCGCCGCGGUAAUAC